rnacentral:rRNA from 1 species
GAGUCGGACCUGCCCGGUGAAUAUAUUUUAACGGCCGCGGUACUCUGACCGUGCAAAGGUAGCAUAAUCAUUUGCCCUAUAAUUGAGGGCUAGUAUGAAUGGUUUGACGUGAACAAAGCUGUCUCUAUAUAAUUUUUUAGAACUUGAUUUCUAGGUGAAGAAACCUAGAUAUUAUUGAAAGACAAGAAGACCCUAUUGAGCUUUAAAAGAGUAAAUUGAAAAAUAAUAUAUAGAUUUAGAUAUUAAUCUAUUUUAGAUUUUGGUUGGGGCGACUAUGGAACAAGUAAAGCUUCUUUAUAAUUAAUAAAACUUACAGGUAUUGAUCCAGAAUUUUUGAUUAAUGGAAUUAGUUACCAUAGGGAUAACAGCAUAAUUCUCUUUGAGAGUUCUUAUCGAAAAGAGAGUUUGUGACCUCGAUGUUGGACUAGAAUGUCCUAAAGAUGCAGCAGUCUUUAAGGGUUNGUC